CCUUUGACCUGGAAGUAGAAGGAGCAUCUGGGGCCAGGGCGACAUGCUGCCUUGGUCCGGGCGAGAUGAUGUCACUCAUCUGUGUCGCUUCACGCCCUGAGGAUUGAAAUAAGACUGCAGUCGCCGUGGUUUCCCAUCGCCCUCGGGGAGCAGUGUCAGGUUUGCAUCUCUGCCUAUGAAGAUAAAAGAUGCACAUUUCACCAUGAGCCAGAGAAAUACAAACAGCAGUAGCAACAGCAGCAGGGCGCCUGGGGAAGUCAGUCAGUGGUCAUUGCGGGAGUGAUCGCGGAUUGAUUUUAAAGGUGUGCCGAGGAGCCUGUGUGCUCUUCCUACCCCAUGUUCUGGCCAGCGGGGAGGGGAACUCUUUUGUUUUUCCCCAAUAUCGAAAGCGGUGAGCUCAUGUUCCUGACGCACCCAGGGCUGUAACGGACAGAAAAUAUGCUAUAUUUGCGAGCUGCUGAAGAGCAUCUGAACAAACCCUCAACAUGAACAAACUUUUAGUCUGCGUGGUUCUAGCCUUGAUGGUGCUCCAGUGUGUGGUGAGUCAACAUGAGGGGAAGGGACCUGAGGCGAGUGAACCUGAGGUGACGGUGACUAAAUCCGCCAAACUCGACCCAAGUACAAAGGGGUCAGCUUCUGCCAUGGUGCCAACUCCACUGCUGCAGCUGGGCAUGACGGUGGUCCCAGCUCUUCUUUACAAACUGCUCUGACCCCCCGUUCCUGUUGCUGAGCUGACUGGCCCAAACCUCUGGCCUCGCACGCAAUCUUGCAUGUACCCUCGCACCCAAACUCAGCGCCACAGCGAAAAAAUGAAGAUAUCUGUUUUGUUUUUGUGCUGGAAAACAUGAAUGUGUUUAUUUUUGUACUGGAAUACAUGAAUGUGUUUUAUUUUUGUACUGUAAAACAUGAAUGUGUGUUAGAAAAUGAUUGCUUCUGCAUUAAAUAAAGUUACAUCGAUUGCCCAAA